rnacentral:rRNA from 1 species
UACGUAGGGUGCGAGCGUUGUCCGGAAUUAUUGGGCGUAAAGGGCUCGUAGGCGGUUUGUCGCGUCGGGAGUGAAAUCCACUGGCUUAACUGGUGGCUUGCUUUCGAUACGGGCAGACUGGAGGUAUGCAGGGGAGAACGGAAUUCCUGGUGUAGCGGUGAAAUGCGCAGAUAUCAGGAGGAACACCGGUGGCGAAGGCGGUUCUCUGGGCAUGUCCUGACGCUGAGGUGCGAAAGCGUGGGGAGCAAACAGG